UGGUUCUGGCAUCGAUGAAGAACGCAGCGAAAUGCGAUAAGUAAUGCGAAUUGCAGAAUUCCGUGAGUCAUCGAAUCUUUGAACGCACAUUGCGCCCUAUGGUAUUCCGUAGGGCAUGCCUGUUCGAGCGUCAUUAUCAACCUUCAAGCCUGGCUUGCUGUUGAACCGCGACGGAUCAUUCCAGUCGGGUUCCAAACACAAUGACGGCGGCGGUCAGACCCCCGGUACAAUGAGCUUUCACGAGCACGUACCGUGGCGGGCUGUCCUCCCCGGUCCUCCAUCAUUAUUUCUUAGGUUGACCUCGGAUCAGGUAGGGAUACCCGCUGA
rnacentral:misc_RNA from 1 species